GUCGGCGACACAGGUCCACACAGAAGCCUAGAGAAACACAGGUACACACACAGCCACAGACAAACACAGUUACGCACACAGCAACCUAGACUAAGAGGUACGCAACCCUAGGCCUCUGUUAUUAGCCAGCCAGGGUGAGGCCAGACUGGAGGUCAUGUGAACAUCCUCGUCUGGGACACAAAGAGCUUGUGAGGGCCGCUGUGUGGUUGGCUGAGACCUUGUUGUUGUGCCCGCUGACUGAGUGAAGCCCUCGCGUGUUCACAGAGACAUGACUCAGAUCUCAGAUUAUCUGUCUCAAUCGGUGUGAAGCUCAGAGCUGAGCUGUCGAGUCACUCUGGUGGACCUUCUCUCUCCGCCCUGAACUCAGCCAAACACAGCUGCCACUUGGCUACGCAUGCUGCAAGACUGCUACCAGACUAGCUCCAGAACUCUACCAGGACAAAUUCUAGAACUCCACCGGACUAGUUCUAGAACACCUCCAGUCUAGUUCCAGAACUCUACCAGGACUCCUUUAACCCUAGAAGAACCAGACCUGGUCAGACUAGGAGGGGCUGACCAGACAGCAUGCACCCUCUAUUGAUCGGUAUCAUCACGGCCAACAGCUCUCUCGCCCUCAUGCUCUGGAACUUUCUGCUAUCUCAGGUCCUCUGCAAGAAGAUCAAGGACACACCCAAAGCGGAAGUCGUCCCAAUCUGAAUUGGACGGGGCCCUGGACUGUGGGAACCAAUGGGAAUGAGGGAAGGAUGACCCACCAUGGAAGGUCAUCUCAUGGGUCAGCUGACCCAGUCGAGUACAACGGCCGACAGUCCAGGAUCUAACCCCCUAACCUAAACCUCCCCACCCCUGUUAAAGUGAAUGGAUCAGUGUUAGGUACUUAGGUACUUUAAAUGUAACCGUGUGACAAUUUCAUGUACGUGGGAUGAAGUCAGUUUUCAUCCUUAAUAGAAGACAGAUGAAUGAUAAUGAUGACAACAUUGGCAUCGUUUGAAGCUAACCAAUCUCAUCUCCUUAAUCCUAACCUGUAGUGUAAACCUGUCUGAGCUCCUGUCAUGCUCUGGAACUACAUUUGUGCUCGACAACAACAAUUUAUUCUCGAAUAAAGUACUGGAACUGUC